GCCUCUGUGGAUUAUGGAGAUUGUCUUGAGGUAUUUACACUAUGGUAUAAUCUAUUGUGAGAAGUCGUGGGUUCGACUCCCACCAGAGGCU